UCUCUCUCUCCUUCGCCUCCCUAAACCAUCUCCUAGCGAAACCAGUUUGGCUUCCUCCUCCAUUCUCGAUCAAUCUGUCUCCAAUCUGAGAAACCGAAUCUAUUUGGGAGCUUAUCAAACGGCGAUCAACAACAGUGAGAUCCCUAACCUCUCGCCGGACGACGCUGUGGAACGCGACUGCCUCGUCUUCCGCUCUUACAUCUCCCUUGGGAUGUGCUCUGUAUUCAUUGAUGAACGUGGCCGAGAUCCACAAGUCAAGGAGCGUGCAGAGACUGAUAUAUCUGUUCCACAUGCUCCUGUUCGAGGUUUGUUUGCUCAAAGGAGCGUGCAGAGACUGAUGUUUGCUCAAAGCUGCUACAAAAGGUCUUGGAGAGCAAAAGGCUAGUGAUUCAACUGAAGGCAAGGAUCAUGAUGACCACCUGGCAAGUAGGAAAAGUAUGCUGAUGCUAUUGAACGUGAGUUUGAAGUAAAUGCAAAAGGCACAUGCCGAGAGAGAGACAAUGACAUAUCCUUGCCAGAGACAGAAGCAAAACAGUUGAAAGAAACAGUCGUUUGGGGUAAUAUCUAUAAAACACACACAUCCAUGAAUCAAUGCAGACAAAGUUUGGUGGCAUUCUGGCUUUUCACAGUCUCUGCUUCUUCUUCCUUUUCAUUUUUUUUUUUAAUUUCUUUUUCUUGUCGCUGAUGAAUCAGAAAAAGGGACCGCAAGAACACAGGCACUACUACCUGUUUCUCUCUGUGUUAUUACAUAAGCAACCAUUUCUAAUAAAACUAAAGACUUGAAACAAUCAUGAGUUUAUCAUCAUCAUAGAUAUGCGUAAAGAUAGGGAGAAUGUCUGAACAACAAUCUAAUUCCUGUGAAGAAAAAUAGUGUGUCUUGCAGUACAUUAAGCUACUACAAACCUUAUUAAUAAAGCAAACCAUGGAAAAUCUUUUGUCGGUAGAGAAAUAUCACACGCAGUCCUUCGCCCAUCAGCAAGUCAGAGACUACAAGAAAA